GAUGAACGCUGGCGGCGUGCCUAAUACAUGCAAGUCGAGCGAACAGACGAGGAGCUUGCUCCUUUGACGUUAGCGGCGGACGGGUGAGUAACACGUAGGUAACCUACCUAUAAGACUGGGAUAACUUCGGGAAACCGGAGCUAAUACCGGAUAAUAUUUCGAACCGCAUGGUUCGAUAGUGAAAGAUGGCUUUGCUAUCACUUAUAGAUGGACCUGCGCCGUAUUAGCUAGUUGGUAAGGUAACGGCUUACCAAGGCAACGAUACGUAGCCGACCUGAGAGGUGAUCGGCCACACUGGAACUGAGACACGGUCCAGACUCCUACGGGAGGCAGCAGUAGGGAAUCUUCCGCAAUGGGCGAAAGCCUGACGGAGCAACGCCGCGUGAGUGAUGAAGGUCUUCGGAUCGUAAAACUCUGUUAUUAGGGAAGAACAAACGUGUAAGUAACUGUGCACGUCUUGACGGUACCUAAUCAGAAAGCCACGGCUAACUACGUG
rnacentral:rRNA from 1 species